GGCGGAAUGGCAGAGUGGCCAUGCACCGGAUUGCAAAUCCGUUUACCCCGGUUCGACUCGGGUUCCGCCUCCA
rnacentral:tRNA from 1 species